AAAAAAUUGAAUACGGUCUCUCAAAGUCCCAAAGUGGUCUCUCGGACGGCCAGACACAAAUACUACUACAAAAUAAAGACACACAGUCACACAGUACCCAACACAGUCCCAUUUCAUCAUCAUCCUUCACUCUCUACUCCUUACUGUUUCAGGCUUUCAGCUCCAGAGAAAAGAGAAGGAGAAGAAAAAUAAUAAUACUUAAUAAUCAUUAGCAUUAACGAAGAAGAGAACCUGGGAAUCCCAGAGGGAGCAGGAGUUAUAGAAACGGCAGCAUUGGAAUUUCAGAAGCUCAGAUCCUUUUAAGAAAGAGAGAGAUUGAGAUUUCAAGCGAAGAAAAGACUGAAAGAUUAGGUAAUGGAGAGAACCACACCGGUUAGGAAGCCUCACACUUCUACAGCAGAUCUGCUCACUUGGUCGGAAAAUCCGCCGGAAAAUUCUGCGGCACUGGGCUCCGCUUCCUCCGCUGCUCGGUCCUCCGCCCGCUCCCACCAGCCGUCAGAUGGAAUCAGAAAGGUUGUGUUUGGAGGGCAGGUGACGGAUGAAGAAGUUGAAAGCUUGAAUAAACGGAAACCAUGCUCAGACUAUAAGUUAAAGGAAAUUACAGGUAGCGGUAUUUUUAAGCCAGGUGGUGAGAAUGAUAUCCUUGAAUCUGAUAGUGCUGACCCAAGUGCUGCUAAUAAAACUGGUUUACGCAUGUACCAGCAAGCGGUUGCUGGAAUCAGUCAAAUUUCCUUUGGUGAUGAAGAAACUGUCACUCCAAAGAAGCCUACUACUCUGCCUGAAGUGGCGAAGCAGCGGGAGCUAAGUGGAAACCUGGAAAGUGAAUCUGAGGCAAAGCUGAAGAAGCAAAUUUCAAAUGCAAAGUCGAAGGAGCUUAGUGGCCAUGACAUCUUUGCUCCCCCUCCUGAAAUUCAACCUCGACCAUUGGCUGCUCGUGCACCAGCUCUAAGAGAGAGCAUUACCAUUGGAGAAACUGCUGCACGCAAUGCCACUGGAAAUGCAGGCGAUGAGGUAUCUAAUGAAGAAACAAUGCUUAAAACAGCGAAAAAGAUUCCAGAGAAGAAAUUUGUAGAGCUGUCGGAAACAACAUUUUCAAGGGAGAUGCACCUCCGUCAUCUGCCGAGAAGCCACUGAGUUCUGCGAAGUUGCAAGAGAUGAGCGGGAGCAACAUUUUUGCCGAUGGAAAGGUAGAAUCUCGAGAUUACUUUGGCGGGGUUCGCAAGCCCCCUGGUGGUGAGAGCAGCAUCGCUCUGGUGUAAUGUUAUUAGGUCUGACUCCAUUAAAUUACAUUAUUAUUUGUGUCUUCGCCUCUCCUCUCCUAGUGGAGAUUCGUCCUCAAACGGAAGACUUUGUGUUCUGGCUUUUGGUGUGGCUCAGGUUAACAUGUGCUCCAUAGUUAUAGACGAUUUGCUAAUUGGGUUAUAUGUCCAUAAUCUUGUUUUCAUGCUAUUUGUGUCGAUGAAUGGUCUUGCUUGCUUUAAUAUAUUGAUGUUUUAC